UCCGCCAUGGCUCAGUUGGUAGUAGCGCAUGACUGUUAAUCAUGAUGUCGUAGGUUCGAGUCCUACUGGCGGAG
rnacentral:tRNA from 1 species